UUUAGAGUUUUGGAUCCUGGCUCAGGACGAACGCUGGCGGCGUGCCUAAUACAUGCAAGUCGAGCGGACAGAUGGGAGCUUGCUCCCUGAUGUUAGCGGCGGACGGGUGAGUAACACGUGGGUAACCUGCCUGUAAGACUGGGAUAACUCCGGGAAACCGGGGCUAAUACCGGAUGCUUGUUUGAACCGCAUGGUUCAAACAUAAAAGGUGGCUUCGGCUACCACUUACAGAUGGACCCGCGGCGCAUUAGCUAGUUGGUGAGGUAACGGCUCACCAAGGCAACGAUGCGUAGCCGACCUGAGAGGGUGAUCGGCCACACUGGGACUGAGACACGGCCCAGACUCCUACGGGAGGCAGCAGUAGGGAAUCUUCCGCAAUGGACGAAAGUCUGACGGAGCAACGCCGCGUGAGUGAUGAAGGUUUUCGGAUCGUAAAGCUCUGUUGUUAGGGAAGAACAAGUACCGUUCNAAUAGGGCGGUACCCUGACGNACNACCNA
rnacentral:rRNA from 1 species